rnacentral:rRNA from 1 species
CCUACGGGAGGCAGCAGUGAGGAAUAUUGGUCAAUGGGCGUAAGCCUGAACCAGCCAAGCCGCGUGAGGGAAGAAGGUACAGCGUAUCGUAAACCUCUUUUGUAAGGGAACAAAGGCCGGGACGUGUCCCCGUAUGAGGGUACCUGAAGAAAAAGGAUCGGCUAACUCCGUGCCAGCAGCCGCGGUAAUACGGAGGAUCCGAGCGUUAUCCGGAUUUAUUGGGUUUAAAGGGUGCGCAGGCGGCCUUUUAAGUCAGCGGUGAAAGCCUGGGGCUCAACCCCAGCAAUGCCGUUGAAACUGGCGGGCUGGAGUUGGAGAGAGGUACGCGGAAUGCGUGGUGUAGCGGUGAAAUGCUUAGAUAUCACGCAGAACCCCGAUUGCGAAGGCAGCGUACCGGCUCCACACUGACGCUGAGGCACGAAAGCGUGGGGAUCGAACAGGAUUAGAUACCCGAGUAGUC